AAUGCAUGUUUAUUCAAUUGCAUUCUCUCAAUAAAAUAAUGAAGAACUAAAUAGCAAUUUAAAAAGAUUUAUUUAACAAUGUUCUCAUCACAGAUAUUCUUAAAUAAGUAAUAUAUUUAAAAUAGACUUUAAAAGGAAGCUUAUCUCUGGUGCACUAUUGGUCUUGUAUACAUGCAUUCUUAAAAUUCAUAAAAUUAACCUUAAAUCUUAUAUGUUUCUAAAAAAGUCUAUUUGCAUAUUCAAUUACUGAUUUGAUUCUACUACAUACUUUUAGCACAAGUUGUUUCCCUUUUCAAAUUGUUGACUGGUUUUACACUUCAGGAUGUACUUAGGUGAGGUUUUGGAAUUUGUGUUGGAUGUUCAGACUCAUUGGUGUUUUUCCAUUUGAUACGAGGUAAAAUAUUUUGCCCCAUAACACACAUUUUUCUUUUCAUAUAAGACAUAAUAGCUCUUGUAAGGUAAUUUGCCAAAAUUUAAGCAGAUUCUUGAUUUUUUUCUUUUGAUUUGAGACCCAAAUUAUACCAAUGCAAAUAUAAGGUAAAAGUCAGAGUCAGCCUUUUCCCGCCAUAUUUAAAAAUCAAAUAUCUCGAAAAUGAGUUCCAUGACCUAUCAAAAUAUUUAGCUUAUUUUUUUCCUUAACUUAUGCUCUUCUCAUUUAUAGUAUCAAUUUUAAUUUCUUGAUUUUAUUAAUUUCACCUAAUUACAUCCUUAACAUAAUGUUCUGCUGCCCAUACAAAGCAUGAUAAGUUCAAAGUGAUAGAUAAGGUUUAAAUUAAUUUUCAAACAAAAAUAACUAUUAAUUUGGAAAGUUUUUAGCUAAACAAAUGAUUGCAUGAAAUGAAGAUUCGUAAAACUAAGAUUAUGCACAGAUAAAUUUUGGCAUUUCCAGUAGCUCACCAUUGUCAACGAAAAUGUAUGUCCCUCCUAAGGGAAGCAUCUCUUUAAAAGAUAAAUUUCUUAUUAUAGUCAAUUACGGAACUGUUAAAAAGACUAUAAAUGUAAGGGUUUGGUCACUGUGUUUUAUUUAGAUUUAUUUUUGUAUUUCUAGUUUGUCGUUUGUCUAAAUUAAAGUUCACAUGGAAUACAAAAAAGCACCUUCCUUUUAAAUAAAUUUGUUUUCUAUCUUAACAUUAUUAUCAAUAACAAGACUUCCAUCAUUGCAUCUUGCCUUACAUAAUAAAUAAUACAAUUUAAUAUCUGAAAAAUUAACAAAGAAAAAAUAACAGUAUCAUGAUUUACUGUAAAUUCAGAAGCUUUUGCAUGAAAUGAUUAUCAUGAUCACUGUGAUUGCUGAAUAACUGACAAAAAUGAAAAAUUUGCGAAAUGCUUGAAAUUUUUUAAAUGAGAGUUCUUAUUUCUGCGAAGAAUAUGCUGCUUAAAAUUAAAAAAGAUAGCAAAAGUUUCUGAAUUUACAGUAAGAGCACCAAGUUCAAUAUUACAUAUAACUUGAUUAGUUUAGUUUAAAAUUAUGAAGUUUUACAAUAAAAAU
rnacentral:lncRNA from 1 species